rnacentral:rRNA from 1 species
CAGCCGCCGCGGGAAUACGUAGGUGGCGAGCGUUGUCCGGAAUUAUUGGGCGUAAAGCGCGCGCAGGCGGAUCAGUUAGUCUGUCUUAAAAGUUCGGGGCUUAACCCCGUGAUGGGAUGGAAACUGCUGAUCUAGAGUAUCGGAGAGGAAAGUGGAAUUCCUAGUGUAGCGGUGAAAUGCGUUGAGAUCGGAAAGAACACCAACGGCGAAAGCACUCUGCUGGGCCGACACUGACACUGAGAGACGAAAGCUAGGGGAGCAAAUGGGAUUAGAUACCCGGGUAGUCCCUGUCUCUUAUACA